rnacentral:tRNA from 1 species
AAGGCUUUAAGUUAAUAUAAACUUAUAUCCUUCAAAGCUAUAUAUAAAGGUGAAUCUUUAAGUCUUA